ensembl:lncRNA
GGGGGCUGUGUUGCUACAGUUUUAGAUACUGUCGCUUGGUUCAUGAUUUCAGGCAGACAGGAGCACUUCCCUGGAGAACACUUAUUCUGUUCCUCUGCCGUUGAACAAGAUAAUGAUGUUCAGAGGUGUCGCUAACUUAUUUGUCCCACUGCUUCUGUCUCCAGGCAUUUUGAGUGGCAGCGGAGUUUCCCAGUGGCCUCCAGCUGUAGUGGAGAGGGUAGCAGAAAGCAGACAACUCAUUUGUAGCCACAACAAUUCAGAUGCCUUCUUCAUGUACUGGUACAAGCGAAAGGAGCGGAGCAGAGCCCUCACACUGGUGGGCUACCUUUACUCAGAUCUGCCCAACAUGGAACCCGACUUCACUGAGCCUCCCUUCAGUCGCUUCAGUCUCCAGGGACACUCGGGGGGCCGCGGAGAACUGCGGAUAUCUAAUCUUACCACAGAGGACUCUGGGGAGUAUUUCUGCGCCGUCAGCUUGACACAACGCUUCAGACCCCUGUCCUUGCUCUACAGAAACCCCUCUCUCCCUUAACCCCAUGUCGGCGCCUACGUCCUUUGUCCUGAUCAUACCUGAUUCUGGCUAUGCACGCGUUGCGAGGCAGGUGAAGGAGAUGCUUUGUGAUCUGAUUGUGAAUAAAACUAUGAGUGUAAGCAGACAAUGAGGAUUAGGACAAUGUCAGUACAAACGAGGCAUGUUAGAGCCAUGUAUAAAGAGGGCUUCUGGGCUCAGCCCAUACUGGAAAUUACACCAUAAAACGGAAAAACUGAAAAACUUAAUGAAACUUAAUCGAUGUAUUUGUGUGGCUUAGGGUGGUCCAGUAGUCUAAACCCCUCCCCCUGGUACACAUGGACUAAUGCAGCAUGAGUUUUCAUCUGUUAACCCAUUCCUGUCCAAUAAAUCAUGAAACAUUUAUUUGUGAACUUUUGAAGAGUCCUUUGUUUCUGAUUCUUGUUCUUUGUUGUUUUUUCUUUCUUGCCAUGUAAAUAAAGAUCAGUCAGACAUCGUUGUUGUGGUUACAGACGUUGUGAUGAUGUUAUUUCCUGCCUGUUCCCUUUCCCCAAACAGCUCAGGGAUGCUAAUACUCUGUCACCCCUGACAGCUGUCAACAUGAUCCCAGGUCUCAUCUCUCUCACUGUCUUCUUGUGCUGUCUUACAGGUACUGAGGGGAUU